UACGAAGGGGGCUAGCGUUGCUCGGAAUCGCUGGGCGUAAAGCGCACGUAGGCGGCUUUCUAAGUCAGGGGUGAAAUCCUGGAGCUCAACUCCAGAACUGCCUUUGAUACUGGAGAGCUUGAGUCCGGAAGAGGUGAGUGGAACUCCGAGUGUAGAGGUGAAAUUCGUAGAUAUUCGGAAGAACACCAGUGGCGAAGGCGGCUCACUGGUCCGGUACUGACGCUGAUGUGCGAAAGCGUGGGGAGCAAACAGG
rnacentral:rRNA from 1 species